rnacentral:rRNA from 1 species
CCUACGGGAGGCAGCAGUAGGGAAUAUUGGACAAUGGGGGCAACCCUGAUCCAGCCAUGCCGCGUGAGUGAUGAAGGCCUUCGGGUUGUAAAGCUCUUUUGGCGGGGACGCGGUACCCGCAGAAUAAGCCCCGGCUAACUUCGUGCCAGCAGCCGCGGUAAUACGAAGGGGGCAAGCGUUGUUCGGAGUUACUGGGCGUAAAGGGCGCGUAGGCGGCAGGUUAAGUCAGAUGUGAAAGCCCUGGGCUCAACCCGGGAUGUGCAUUUGAUACUAGCCCGCUAGAAUCCGGGAGAGGUUGGUGGAAUUCCCAGUGUAGAGGUGAAAUUCGUAGAGAUUGGGAAGAACACCGGAGGCGAAGGCGGCCAACUGGUCCGGAUUGACGCUGAGGCGCGAAAGCGUGGGGAGCAAACAGGAUUAGAUACCCUUGUAGUC